CCUGGCGGCCUUAGCGCGGUGGUCCCACCUGACCCCAUGCCGAACUCAGAAGUGAAACGCCGUAGCGCCGAUGGUAGU
rnacentral:rRNA from 1 species